GAAGCUCAAGGGCGCGAAGACUUGUCCUUAUUUCGAUUUUUCUAACUUACACUCGAGUACACCGUUCUUCCUUUGUCUACUACUACUACGUACAGAAGAGGAAGUAAGAAAGGUGGAACGAGAUAAUGGAGGUAUCCAAUCGAGGAGGGAAAUGCGCGCUCGUGCUGUGCGUGCAACGUACGCGACGAUUAUGCGGCACGAGAUACAAAGCCCGCCCACGCAUCGUCCCGAUGUCAAUGAACGAGCUUGUGUGCGCUCACGUACGUGUUCGUGAAAACGACCGAACGACUUACGCUUCGUGCGUGGGCAUCAUUCAGAAACUUGCGAGUAUUACGUGCCAAGAUUUCUCAAAAGUUCGAGCCAAAUUGCUCGCUCGACGAGAUUGCAUAUAGAGCACAUAAUUUCGCGGCCGCUAUAAUUGGUAUUGCUUAUAGGCACCGAAGUACAAGGACGGUUCGUAAAAAUGACUUACCAAGGAGAGCAGCUUCGUACGUUCGCUGACCGAUAGUGCUCCGUUCUCGCGAGAAUUUUAAUCGCUGACUUCUCGUAUGUAUAUACGUACGAGAAAUAGAGAGAGAAAGAGAGAGAGAGAGAGAGAGAGAGAGAGAGAGAAAGAGAAAGAUAGAGGGAGUCGAGAGAGCCCGAUAAGAUCGUCAAUUCGAGUUUCCGUCGACAGGAAUUGAAUUAUGCAAAUUUCCGUGGCCUCGGUCCAUUUCGAUCCAUCGAAACUCUCAGGAAGAUAUCAGACAGCCCUUUGCUACCAUAUAAUCUCAAGUUUCACUCCCUGUUCCAACUAGAAACUCCCAAUGUG